AUGUAUUUUCUUACAGUAUUCACCAGAGUUUGGUCUGACCUUGCCUUGACAUAUUCCGAACAUCUAAUUUAUGCAAACAGCCGGAGAAUUCACUGUCAGGGCGCUGCACACAGAAAAUACACAUGUCUUUUCAAACAUGUGGUGAAACAAGCUACACCGUACUGUACUACUGUCAAUGGUGGAUCAAUACGUAAUACAAACAAUCUGCUGCGGAACAGGGUGGAGAGAAAGCCUGUAAUUUGCAUUGAAGGGAAUAUUGCAAGUGGAAAGACAACUUGCUUGGAAUACUUUAGCAAAACCAGUAACAUUGAGGUAAAAGCAAAAUGCCUUUGUAGUUUGAUUCAUUUCUGUCAAAUAUGAAGAUUUGUAAUUCCAUGUUCAUU
rnacentral:lncRNA from 1 species